rnacentral:rRNA from 1 species
GACGAACGCUGGCGGCGUGCUUAACACAUGCAAGUCGAACGGAAAGGCCCUGCUUUUGUGGGGUGCUCGAGUGGCGAACGGGUGAGUAACACGUGAGUAACCUGCCCUUGACUUUGGGAUAACUUCAGGAAACUGGGGCUAAUACCGGAUAGGAGCUCCGGCUGCAUGGUGGGGGUUGGAAAGUUUCGGCGGUUGGGGAUGGACUCGCGGCUUAUCAGCUUGUUGGUGGGGUAGUGGCUUACCAAGGCUUUGACGGGUAGCCGGCCUGAGAGGGUGACCGGCCACAGUGGGACUGAGAUACGGCCCAGACUCCUACGGGAGGCAGCAGUGGGGAAUAUUGCACGAUGGGCGGAAGCCUGAUGCAGCAACGCCGCGUGCGGGAUGACGGCCUUCGGGUUGUAAACCGCUUGCGCCUGUGACGAAGAGUGAGUGACGGUAAUGGGUAAGGAAGCACCGGCUAACUACGUG